ensembl:ncRNA F53G12.17 ncRNA
UUAAAAUUUCGAAUUGUCAUCGUGUUAUUGAGACGCAUUCUGAAUUGAAUACACCUCACCCAAAAACAAGAUAAUUCUUAUAGCUCAGUUUUGACGGCUGGCUUGGAUAAUAGUGGAUCCUAAAACCAGUGCUUUUGAAGAGCAUUUUCU